AAAUUUUAAUAUAUUGAACAAAACAAACCAAUUAAGUGUCAAAUAUGUCAAUAUAGUUACUGUUAAUGAUUAUUUUUAUUGUUAAGUUUACGAGCUUAUAUAUUGGUUUUUUAUUAACUCAAAUUUAUUUUUAUUGUUCCAAUAUAUUGAACAAAAUUGUUGUUUCCUUAUCUAUAGGGUAGCUACACCCACAGCUCUGCUUCUUUCAUCAGUGGCUUUUGGAUUGUUACAUGUUGGAGCUCAAAGAUUUGACUUGAAUGUUUUUCCCCCUCAUUUUUUCUUUGGUUUGUUUACGGGAGCUGUCUACCUUUAUUCAAGGAAUCUCUGUGCA